CCGUACUUUUUUUUUUUUUUUUUUAAGACAGAGUCUUGCCCUGUCACCCAAGCUGCGGUGCAGUGGCACAGUCUCAGCUCACUGCAACCUCCACCUCCUCGGUUCAAGUGAUUCUUGUGCCUCAGUCUCUCCAGUAGCUGGGAUUACAGGCACCCACCACCAUGCCUGGUUAAUUUUUGUAUUUUUAAUAGAGACAGGGUCUCACCAUGUUG
rnacentral:lncRNA from 10 species